GUGCAUGUAGCUCAGUGGUAGAGCACUUGCCUAGAAGUGCAAGGCCCUGAGUUUGACCCUCAGCACUGAACA
rnacentral:tRNA from 1 species